rnacentral:rRNA from 1 species
UACGUAGGUGGCAAGCGUUGUCCGGAUUUACUGGGCGUAAAGGGAGCGUAGGCGGAUGUUUAAGUGGGAUGUGAAAUACUCGGGCUCAACUUGAGUGCUGCAUUCCAAACUGGAUAUCUAGAGUGCAGGAGAGGAAAGGAGAAUUCCUAGUGUAGCGGUGAAAUGCGUAGAGAUUAGGAAGAAUACCAGUGGCGAAGGCGCCUUUCUGGACUGUAACUGACGCUGAGGCUCGAAAGCGUGGGGAGCAAAC